rnacentral:rRNA from 1 species
AACGAACGCUGGCGGCGCGCCUAACACAUGCAAGUCGAACGAAGGCUUCGGUCUUAGUGGCGCACGGGUGCGUAACGCGUGGGAAUCUACCCUUGGGUUCGGAAUAACUCGCCGAAAGGCGUGCUAAUACCGGAUGAUGACGUAAGUCCAAAGAUUUAUCGCCCAGGGAUGAGCCCGCGUAGGAUUAGCUUGUUGGUGAGGUAAAAGCUCACCAAGGCGACGAUCCUUAGCUGGUCUGAGAGGAUGAUCAGCCACACUGGGACUGAGACACGGCCCAGACUCCUACGGGAGGCAGCAGUAGGGAAUAUUGGACAAUGGGGGAAACCCUGAUCCAGCAAUGCCGCGUGAGUGAUGAAGGCCUUAGGGUUGUAAAGCUCUUUUACCCGAGAUGAUAAUGACAGUAUCGGGAGAAUAAGCUCCGGCUAACUCCGUG